rnacentral:rRNA from 1 species
CCUACGGGUGGCAGCAGUAGGGAAUCUUUCACAAUGGGCGAAAGCCUGAUGGAGCAACGCCGCGUGCAGGAUGAAGGCCUUCGGGUUGUAAACUGCUUUUAUAAGCGAGAAAUAUGAUGGUAACUUAUGAAUAAGGAUCGGCUAACUACGUGCCAGCAGCCGCGGUCAUACGUAGGAUCCGAGCAUUAUCCGGAGUGACUGGGUGUAAAGAGUUGCGUAGGUGGCAUAAUAAGUAGCUAGUGAAAUCUGGUGGCUCAACCAUUCAGACUAUUAGCUAAACUGUUAAGCUCGAGACCGUUAGAGGUAACUGGAAUUUCUAGUGUAGGAGUGAAAUCCGUAGAUAUUAGAAGGAACACCAGUAGCGUAGGCAGGUUGCUGGGACGGUUCUGACACUAAGGCACGAAAGCGUAGGGAGCAAACGGGAUUAGAUACCCGUGUAGUC